rnacentral:rRNA from 1 species
UACGUAGGUGGCAAGCGUUGUCCGGAAUUAUUGGGCGUAAAGAGCUCGUAGGCGGUCUGUUGCGUCGGCUGUGAAAACCCGAGGCUCAACCUCGGGCCUGCAGCCGAUACGGGCAGACUAGAGUUCGGCAGGGGAGACUGGAAUUCCUGGUGUAGCAGUGAAAUGCGUAGAUAUCAGGAGGAAUACCGAUGGCGAAGGCAGGUCUCUGGGCUGACACUGACGCUCAUGCACGAAAGCGUGGGGAGCAAACAGG